rnacentral:rRNA from 1 species
AGCAAAUAGAUACCCGGGUAGUCCUAGCCUUAAACGAUGAAUGCUUGGUGUCUGGGGUUUUAUAGUCCCCGGGUGCCGUCGCUAAACGCUUUAAAGCAUUCCGCCUGGGGAGUACGGUCGCAAGACUGAAACUCAAAGGAAUUGACGGGGGACCCCGGCACAAGCGGUGGAGCAUGUGGUUUAAUUCGACGCAACGCGAAGAACCUUACCUGGGCUAGAAUGCCUCUGACCGGCGUAGAGAUACGCCUUCCUGGGUAAAACCAAGCAGAGUGCAAGGUGCUGCAUGGCUGUCGUCAGCUCGUGUCGUGAGAUGUUGGG